rnacentral:rRNA from 1 species
GACGAACGCUGGCGGCGUGCCUAAUACAUGCAAGUCGAACGCAGUGGGGACGGGUGAGUAACCCGGGGGUAACCUCCCAUCAGAGGGGAUAACACUUGGAAACAGGUGCUAAACCGAUACAGAUGGAUGGACCCGCGGGGCAUUAGCUAGUUGGUGAGGUAACGGCUCACCAAGGCCACGAUUCAUAGCUGACCUGGUAGGGUGAUCGGGCACACGGGGACUGAGACACGGUCCAGACUCCUACGGGAGGCAGCAUUAGGGAAUCUUCGGCAAUGGACGAAAGUCUGACCGAGCAAUGCCGCGUGAGUGAAGAAGGGUUUCGGAUCGUAAAACUCUGUUGUUAGAGAAGCGGUAUCUAACCAGAAAGCCACGGCUAACUACGUGCCAGCAGCCGCGGUAAUUC